rnacentral:rRNA from 1 species
UACGUAGGGGGCAAGCGUUGUCCGGAAUUAUUGGGCGUAAAGAGCGCGUAGGCGGUCCGAUAAGUCGGCUGUGAAAGUCAGGGGCUCAACCCUUGAAAGCCGGCCGAUACUGUCGGACUAGAGUCCGGAAGAGGCAAGUGGAAUUCCCGGUGUAGCGGUGAAAUGCGCAGAUAUCAGGAGGAACACCGAUGGCGAAGGCAGGUCUCUGGGCCACUACUGACGCUGAGAAGCGAAAGCAUGGGGAGCGAACAGG